rnacentral:rRNA from 1 species
AUUGAACGCUGGCGGCAUGCCUUACACAUGCAAGUCGAACGGUAACGGGCCUUCGGGUGCCGACGAGUGGCGAACGGGUGAGUAAUACAUCGGAACGUGCCCGAUCGUGGGGGAUAACGAGGCGAAAGCUUUGCUAAUACCGCAUACGAUCUACGGAUGAAAGCAGGGGACCGCAAGGCCUUGCGCGGACGGAGCGGCCGAUGGCAGAUUAGGUAGUUGGUGGGAUAAAAGCUUACCAAGCCGACGAUCUGUAGCUGGUCUGAGAGGAUGAUCAGCCACACUGGGACUGAGACACGGCCCAGACUCCUACGGGAGGCAGCAGUGGGGAAUUUUGGACAAUGGGCGCAAGCCUGAUCCAGCCAUGCCGCGUGCAGGAUGAAGGCCUUCGGGUUGUAAACUGCUUUUGUACGGAACGAAAAGCCUUCUUUUAAUACAGGAGGGUCAUGACGGUACCGUAAGAAUAACCACCGGCUAACUACGUG